rnacentral:rRNA from 1 species
CAGCCGCCGCGGGAAUACAGAGGGUGCGAGCGUUAAUCGGAUUUACUGGGCGUAAAGCGUGCGUAGGCGGUUAUAUAAGACAGAUGUGAAAUCCCCGGGCUCAACCUGGGAACUGCAUUUGUGACUGUAUAGCUAGAGUACGGCAGAGGGGGAUGGAAUUCCGCGUGUAGCAGUGAAAUGCGUAGAUAUGCGGAGGAACACCGAUGGCGAAGGCAAUCCCCUGGGCCUGUACUGACGCUCAUGCACGAAAGCGUGGGGAGCAAACAGGAUUAGAUACCCCUGUAGUCCCUGUCUCUUAUAC